rnacentral:rRNA from 1 species
AUGCCUCCAAAGCUUAAAAUGCCUACAAAAUGUUUGCAUGCAAGAAUAUGGGCAAGUGAUAGCAAGGAUGAUCUUGAUGACACAAAGAGGGUGGCUUGCUUGCCAUCAUACCAUGUCUUGCAUGCCGAUGCCGCUCACGGGGCGGGCCUUGACGCUCUCAAGGGUGGCGCAAAACUUGUUGCACUUUUGUUGGAUCACCCUCCACCGCUUGGAAAUGGAGACCCACCCGCGCGUGCUCACAAAUUGGUAAGGUGGAAACUUCUUGCGCUCAUGGAACUCUCGGUGCACACGAGUCCAAAAGGUCGAAGGCUUUUGCUCGGCGCCCGUCUUCGGGUCUUGUCCAAUGUCUCGCCAACACUCGCAAAGAAGUUUGUCUUCGGCCGCCGUGUACGCCUUCGUACGCUUGCUCUUGCGCUUGGGCUUAGGACCGGUAGCUUGGUUGGCGAGCUCGUCCUCGAACAAAGGCUCCACGUCGAUGUCGCACUCGUCCUCUUCCUCUAG